AGAAUUAUUUAAACAAAUAAAUUGAAAAAAAAAAUUGGUUGUCUGUAAAGACGGUUUACGGACGAUAGUUUACGUGAUAACGUCAUAAAGAAACAUUGAUGAAAAAUUGCAUACUCUUAUGAAUUGAAUUGAAUUAUUAUCAUUGAAUUAUCAUUAUUUUGU